CACUUCUUUUUAUUUUUCUAUUCACGUGACUUUUUUUAGUGUAAGCAUUGAUAUCACUCUAGUGCUUCUAUUUUAUCCAAUCUUCACAUGCCUUUUUAUAUAGGAGCAAAAUAGAUCCAUUGGAGGGUGAAGUUGGAGUAUCCUCAAGGGAAAUAUUGUAUGAAGGUCACUUCAUAUGCAACAUUAGAGUGACGCUAGUAGCAGAGAGUUGGUGAGAAUGAUGGGAUGUGAGAAGUUUCUUUGGUACAAAGCACAAUACUUUACAUAGAAAGUAUAUUUGAUUUUGUACUUCUGUCACAUCAAUCAGUUGUUAAUCUUUUGAUAUAAAUCUUCUAGUUAGAGGCUUCUUAUGAAAGCUAAUGAAGCCUGAGUAGAUAUUAGAGUAUGUCUUUAGAACUUGAUAAGACUUCAGAUUCUUGGAGGGUUCUGAGACUUUCAGAAGCUGGUAGUCAUAAACUAUAUCAGAGACUAUCUAGAUGGAUGUUUUCUUUUAAAAAAUGUUGACAUUGACAUAUCAAAUUUGACUUGAUACUUCAGAGUUGACUUGUCUGUAGGCAUACUCUUAACCUUUGGUUCAGAGUCUGGACGUCUUCAAAGUCUGAGUCUGUUUUCUAUUUUCUACACACACAACAAACUAGUUAUAGUACAAUUUUUUUGUCUACACUUUGUUAUCAUAAAAACUCAAGGAUAGUUGUAGAAUCAAACUUGUUCGUACAUACAUUACUCAUAUUCACAUCAACCAAAAUCAGUAAAUCAAGCAAGACAAUAGGCAUCAAAACAGAGGCAUGAACAGUAACAUGUAUAUUCAACAAACCAAUCAGGUGAAGACUAAGGAUAAUAAUCAGAAGCAAGAUGCUAAAGAGACUAGGAUUAGUAAUACCAACUUGAAGCACAAGAAAAUCAAUCAUAAUAAGCUUUAGUUCAUCCAAACAGAGGAGGAUUAUACCUACCCACAAUAGUUAAAUUAAGGGAGGUAUUGGUAGAGAAAAAAUAUAUAAAGGGAAAACUAAUAGAAAGAAGAAUAACCACAUACCUAACCAUCAUAAGAACAAAAAAAAGGAUAAAGCUGGAAACUACAGAUAUGAAGAAACCAAUCAAUUACAUGAAAAUAAAAGUAAAGGCCUCAAUAAGAAUAACAUUCUUCAAGAGAACAAUCAAGAGAUUCUUCACGAUAGAAAUACUACUUGGGAGAUAGGGGAAUGCUCCUAUAAAGCCCCUUUACAGAGUAGGAAAAUCAUAAGCAACAACGAGAGGAAUAACUAGAAAAAAGGGAUACCUUAUACGAAAAUCACAAAAAAGAGAAUAAU
rnacentral:lncRNA from 1 species